UUGAUCAUGGCUCAGGAUGAACGCUAGCGGCAGGCUUAAUACAUGCAAGUCGUGGGGCAGCAGGUCCCGCAGCAAUGCGGGAUGCUGGCGACCGGCAAACGGGUGUGGAACACGUACACAACCUCCCUUUGAGCGGGGAAUAGCCCGGGGAAACCCGGAUUAAUACCCCAUAAAAUAUUGAUUCCGCAUGGUUUUGAUAUUAAAGCUCCGGCACUUAAAGAUGGGUGUGCGCCUGAUUAGGCAGUUGGCGGGGUAACGGCCCACCAAACCUACGAUCAGUAACUGGUGUGAGAGCACGACCAGUCACACGGGCACUGAGACACGGGCCCGACUCCUACGGGAGGCAGCAGUAAGGAAUAUUGGUCAAUGGACGCAAGUCUGAACCAGCCAUGCCGCGUGGAGGAUGAAGGUCCUCUGGAUUGUAAACUUCUUUUAUCUGGGAAGAAAUCCACGAAUUCUUUUGUGGUUGACGGUACCAGAUGAAUAAGCACCGGCUAACUCCGUGCCAGCAGCCGCGGUAAUACGGAGGGUGCAAGCGUUAU
rnacentral:rRNA from 1 species